AUUGAACGCUGGCGGCGUGCUUAACACAUGCAAGUCGUGCGGUAACAGGCGUAGCAAUACGUGCUGACGAGCGGCGAACGGGUGCGUAAUACAUGGGAAUCUGCCCUUUAGUGGGGAAUAACCCGGCGAAAGCCGGGCUAAUGCCGCAUAAGAUCUUCGGAUGAAAGCGGGGGAUCGUAAGACCUCGCGCUGAUGGAUGAGCCCAUGUCGGAUUAGCUAGNGGUGAGGUAACGGCUCACCAAGGCGACGAUCCGUAGCUGGUCUGAGAGGACGGCCAGCCACAUUGGGACUGAGACACGGCCCAGACUCCUACGGGAGGCAGCAGUGGGGAAUAUUGGACAAUGGGCGAAAGCCUGAUCCAGCGACGCCGCGUGUGUGAAGAAGGCCUGCGGGUUGUAAAGCAC
rnacentral:rRNA from 1 species